GGGGCCCGCACAAGCGGUGGAGCAUGUGGUUUAAUUCGACGCAACGCGAAGAACCUUACCAGGGCUUGACAUCCCCUGACCGCGUAUGAAAGUACGUUUUCACCUCGGGUGACAGGGAGACAGGUGGUGCAUGGUUGUCGUCAGCUCGUGUCGUGAGAUGUUGGGUUAAGUCCCGCAACGAGCGCAACCCUUAUCCUUUGUUGCCAGCGGUCCGGCCGGGAACUCAAAGGAGACUGCCAGUGAUAAACUGGAGGAAGGUGGGAUGACGUCAAGUCAUCAUGGCCCUUACGACCAGGGCUACACACGUGCUACAAUGGCGCAUACAAAGAGAAGCGACCUCGCGAGAGCAAGCGGACCUCAUAAAGUGCGUCGUAGUCCGGAUUGGAGUCUGAAACCCGACUCCAUGAAGGUGGAAUCGCUAGUAAUCGCGCAUCAGCAUGGCGCGGUGAAUACGUUCCCGGGCCUU
rnacentral:rRNA from 1 species